rnacentral:rRNA from 1 species
GAUGAACGCUGGCGGCGUGCCUAAUACAUGCAAGUCGAGCGAACGGACGAGAAGCUUGCUUCUCUGAUGUUAGCGGCGGACGGGUGAGUAACACGUGGAUAACCUACCUAUAAGACUGGGAUAACUUCGGGAAACCGGAGCUAAUACCGGAUAAUAUUUUGAACCGCAUGGUUCAAAAGUGAAAGACGGUCUUGCUGUCACUUAUAGAUGGAUCCGCGCUGCAUUAGCUAGUUGGUAAGGUAACGGUUUACCAAGGCAACGAUGCAUAGCCGACCUGAGAGGGUGAUCGGCCACACUGGAACUGAGACACGGUCCAGACUCCUACGGGAGGCAGCAGUAGGGAAUCUUCCGCAAUGGGCGAAAGCCUGACGGAGCAACGCCGCGUGAGUGAUGAAGGUCUUCGGAUCGUAAAACUCUGUUAUUAGGGAAGAACAUAUGUGUAAGUAACUGUGCACAUCUUGACGGUACCUAAUCAGAAAGCCACGGCUAACUACGUGCCAGCAGCCGCGGUAAUACGUAGGUGGCAAGCGUUAUCCGGAAUUAUUGGGCGUAAAGCGCGCGUAGGCGGUUUUUUAAGUCUGAUGUGAAAGCCCACGGCUCAACCGUGGAGGGUCAUUGGAAACUGGAAAACUUGAGUGCAGAAGAGAAAAAGUGGAAUUCCAUGUGUAGCGGUGAAAUGCGCAGAGAUAUGGAGGAACACCAGUGGCGAAGGCGACUUUCUGGUCUGUAACUGACGCUGAUGUGCGAAAGCGUGGGGAUCAAACAGGAUUAGAUACCCUGGUAGUCCACGCCGUAAACGAUGAGUGCUAAGUGUUAGGGGGUUUCCGCCCCUUAGUGCUGCAGCUAACGCAUUAAGCACUCCGCCUGGGGAGUACGACCGCAAGGUUGAAACUCAAAGGAAUUGACGGGGACCCGCACAAGCGGUGGAGCAUGUGGUUUAAUUCGAAGCAGCGCGAAGAACCUUACCAAAUCUUGACAUCCUUUGACAACUCUAGAGAUAGAGCUUUCCCCUUCGGGGGACAAAGUGACAGGUGGUGCAUGGUUGUCGUCAGCUCGUGUCGUGAGAUGUUGGGUUAAGUCCCGCAACGAGCGCAACCCUUAAGCUUAGUUGCCAUCAUUAAGUUGGGCACUCUAAGUUGACUGCCGGUGACAAACCGGAGGAAGGUGGGGAUGACGUCAAAUCAUCAUGCCCCUUAUGAUUUGGGCUACACACGUGCUACAAUGGACAAUACAAAGGGCAGCGAAACCGUGAGGUCAAGCAAAUCCCAUAAAUUUGUUCUCAGUUCGGAUUGUAGUCUGCAACUCGACUACAUGAGGCUGGAAUCGCUAGUAAUCGUAGAUCAGCAUGCUACGGUGAAUACGUUCCCGGGUCU